GUCUUGUAAUUGGAAUGAUGGGAAUCUAAACCCUUCCCAGAGUAUCAAUUGGAGGGCAAGUCUGGUGCCAGCAGCCGCGGUAAUUCCAGCUCCAAUAGCGUAUAUUAAAGUUGUUGCAGUUAAGAAGCUCGUAGUUGAAUUUCUGCCUUGUCAUUAAUCUCGCUUCCGAGCGUUUUUUUAUUGGCUUGGCAUCUUCUGGAUUUGGUGCCUUCGGGUACUAUUUUCCAGGAUUUACUUUGAGAAAACUAGAGUGUUUCAAACAGGCAUUCGCCUUGAAUACUACAGCAUGGAAUAAUGAAGUAGGACUUUGGUUCUAUUUUGUUGGUUAUUGAGCCAUAGUAAUGAUUCAUAGGAGCUGUUGGGGGCAUUCGUAUUUAACUGUCAGAGGUGAAAUUCUUAGAUUUGUUAAAGACGAACUACUGCGAAAGCAUUUGCCAAGGAUGUUUUCAUUAAUCAAGAACGAAAGUUAGGGGAUCGAAGACGAUCAGAUACCGUCGUAGUCCUAACCAUAAACUA
rnacentral:rRNA from 1 species